GAUCCUGGCUCAGAAUAAACGCUGGCUGCGUGUCUUAAGCAUGCAAGUCGGACGGCAAGCCGCCUUCGGGCGGCCUAGAGUGGCGGACUGGUGAGUAACACGUGGGUGAUAUACCUUUUGGACGGGGAUAGCCCCUAGAAAUAGGGGGUAAUACCGGAUAAGGCCGUGCGGGUUGGAGCCGCACGGGGAAAGGCGCUAUGGCGCCGCCGAAAGAAUAGCCUGCGACCUAUCAGCUUGUUGGUGAGGUGAAGG
rnacentral:rRNA from 1 species